GAUGAACGCUGGCGGCGUGCCUAAUACAUGCAAGUAGAACGCUGAAGGAGGAGCUUGCUCUUCUGGAUGAGUUGCGAACGGGUGAGUAACGCGUAGGUAACCUGCCUGGUAGCGGGGGAUAACUAUUGGAAACGAUAGCUAAUACCGCAUGACAACAGUUAUUGCAUGAUAACUGUUUAAAAGGGGCAACUGCUCCACUACCAGAUGGACCUUCGUUGUAUUAGCUAGUUGGUGAGGUAACGGCUCACCAAGGCGACGAUACAUAGCCGACCUGAGAGGGUGAUCGGCCAACCUGGGACUGAGAACCGGCCCAGACUCCUACGGGAGGCAGCAGUAGGGAAUCUUCGGCAAUGGACGGAAGUCUGACCGAGCAACGCCGCGUGAGUGAAGAAGGUUUUCGGAUCGUAAAGCUCUGUUGUAAGAGAAGAACGAGUGUGAGAGUGGAAAGUUCACACUGUGACGGUAUCUUACCAGAAAGGGACGGCUAACUACGUG
rnacentral:rRNA from 1 species